AGCCACUGCUAUUGGGAUCCGACUAAGCCAUGCGAGUCGAGAGGGUUCGGCCCUCGGCAGACUGCUCAGUAACACGUGGAUAACCUACCCUUAGGUGGAAGAUAAUCUCGGGAAACUGAGAAUAAUACUCCAUAGAUCUAGGAUGCUGGAAUGCAUCUAGAUUGAAAGCUCCGGCGCCUAAGGAUGGGUCUGCGGACUAUCAGGUUGUAGUCAGGGUAAAGACCUGACUAGCCUACAACGGAUAUGGGUUGUGAGAGCAAUAGCCCAGAGACGAUAUCUGAGACACGAUAUCGGGCCCUACGGGGCGCAGCAGGCACGAAAUCUUCACAAUGUGCGAAAGCACGAUGAGGGGAUCCCAAGUGCUGGCACGUAAGUGUCAGCUGUUUCUUAGUCUAAAAAACUGAGAGAGUAAGGGCUGGGUAAGACGGGUGCCAGCCGCCGCGGUAAUACCUGCAGCUCAAGUGGUGGCCGCUAUUAUUGGGCCUAAAACGUCCGUAGCCUGUUUAGUAAAUGCUUGGGUAAAUUGUGUAGCUUAACUAUACGAAUACCGGGUAGACUGCUAAACUUGGGACCGGGAGAGGCUAGAGGUACUCCUAGGGUAGAGGUGAAAUUCUGUAAUCCUAGGGGGACCACCAGUGGCGAAGGCGUCUAGCUAGAACGGGUCUGACGGUGAGGGACGAAGCCCUGGGGCGCAAACCGGAUUAGAUACCCGGGUAGUCCAGGGUGUAAACGCUGCUUGCUUGAUGUUAGUUGGGCUCCGAGCCCAACUAGUGUCGGAGAGAAGUUGUUAAGCAAGCUGCCUGGGAAGUACGGUCGCAAGACUGAAACUUAAAGGAAUUGGCGGGGGAGCACAGCAACGGGUGGAGCGUGCGGUUU
rnacentral:rRNA from 1 species